rnacentral:rRNA from 1 species
UACGGGGGGGGUAAGCGUUGUUCGGAAUUACUGGGCGUAAGGGGCGCGCAGGCGGCCUCCUAAGUCCGAUGUGAAAGCCCACGGCUCAACCGUGGAGGGUCAUUGGAAACUGGGGGACUUGAGUGCAGGAGAGAAGAGUGGAAUUCCACGUGUAGCGGUGAAAUGCGUAGAGAUGUGGAGGAACACCAGUGGCGAAGGCGACUCUUUGGCCUGUAACUGACGCUGAGGCGCGAAAGCGUGGGGAGCAACAGG